ACCUGGAUGGCUUAGUGGUUAAGCGUCUGCCUUUGACUCAGGGCAUGAUCCCGAAGUCCUGGGUUCGAAUCCCACAUCAGGCU
rnacentral:tRNA from 1 species